UUGGAUUUUCAUUUCAUUUAGUUCCAUUUAAAUCAAUUCUAUGGAUCCAAAAACCAAUUGUUUAAAGUUGCUUUCUUAGUUAAUGUGAUUGAUUAAGAAAAGGGUGAUUAUGAACCAAAGGCCUCGAUAAUUGAGCUAUGUGAUUGGCCGCUUUACAUUAUGAAUGUUUGGGUUUUAGUAGUAUAGAUUUGAAUGUAAUUUGAUUAAUUCAAUUUGUUGUAAAUGGACAUAAGUCCAUCAUUUGAUUUGUGUUGUAAA
rnacentral:lncRNA from 1 species